CCUACGGGGAGCAGCAGUGGGGAAUAUUGGGCAAUGGGCGCAAGCCUGACCCAGCAACGCCGCGUGAAGGAAGAAGGCUUUCGGGUUGUAAACUUCUUUUCUGAGGGACGAAGAAAGUGACGGUACCUCAGGAAUAAGCCACGGCUAACUACGUGCCAGCAGCCGCGGUAAUACGUAGGUGGCCAGCGUUAUCCGGAUUUAUUGGGUGUAAAGGGCGUGUAGGCGGGAAAGCAAGUCAGAUGUGAAAACUCAGGGCUCAACCCUGAGCCUUCAUUUGAAACUGUUUGUCUUGAGUGCUGGAGAGGCAAUCGGAAUUCCGUGUGUAGCGGUGAAAUGCGUAGAUAUACGGAGGAACACCAGUGGCGAAGGCGGAUUGCUGGACAGUAACUGACGCUGAGGCGCGAAAGCGUGGGGAGCAAACAGGAUUAGAUACUCCUGUAGUC
rnacentral:rRNA from 1 species